CUACGGGCGGCAGCAGUCGAGAAUCUUCCGCAAUGGGCGCAAGCCUGACGGAGCAAUGCCGCGUGAGGGAUGACGGCCCUAGGGUUGUAAACCUCUGUCAGAAGGGACGAAGAACGUGACGGUACCUUCAGAGGAAGCCAUGGCUAACUACGUGCCAGCAGGCCGCGGUAAUACGUAGAUGGCGAGCGUUAUUCGGAUUUACUGGGCGUAAAGGGUCCGUAGGGGGUCUGCCAAGUCUGAUGUGAAAUCCUGCGGCUCAACCGCGGAACUGCAUUGGAAACUGGCGGACUAGAGUGUGCGAGGGGCGAGCGGAAUUCCUGGUGUAGCGGUGGAAUGCGUAGAUAUCAGGAAGAACACCGAUGGCGAAGGCGGCUCACUGGCGCAUCACUGACCCUGAGGGACGAAAGCGUGGGUAGCAAACAGGAUUAGAUACCCGGGUAGUC
rnacentral:rRNA from 1 species